rnacentral:tRNA from 1 species
AGCCCCAUGGUGUAGCGGUCAAACGCAGUUUUCGUUAGAAAAUGGGAAUUCCGGAUUAAUCAUCCGAGGCUUUGGACCUCGGGACUCAGGUUCGAAAGUAAUCCCUUUCUUGUAAGAAAGGUUUUACAAUCCCAAAGAACAUUUUUUGGGAAUACGAAAAUCCUGGUGGGGCUA